AAAAUUCAAGGAAGGGUAAACUCGCACCUGUUCUACCCAGAAGAGUGGCUCAAGUUCACAUUCAGAAUUUAUUUGUUGAAAGAGUAUCUCCACUUUAUCACAAUAGAGCACUUCCAAUUCUUUCAGAAGUGGCCAGCUUGAACUAAACCUUCUAGAGCAAAAUCUUUUGAGUUGGUGUAAACCGGAGAGUGUGAGAGAGGUAAGGUUAGGGAAUAAGAGUAAAGGUGCUGCCUCAUCUUCAUUUUCAUUGGCAACAAUUGCCUCCACUCCACUCUGAAAUAUAUUUAGGUUCUCAAGUUGCACAAGAGCACUCGCCACAGAAACCGGAAAAAGGUUUAGCAAUUUGUUGCAUCCCCUUACUUGCAAUUCCCUUAAUUUGGAAAAUGAAUUUGCUGGAAGUUGGUCAGGCCACAAUGCUCUUAUAUUAUCUAGUCCGCAUACAGAAAAGGACUCCAAGCCUGGGAGUGCAACCUGUGCAAUUGAUGAUCCCUUUAGUUAAUAAUAUAUACAUAUACAUUCCUAAUAAUUAGCACAUGUAAAUAGAAAAUAAGAGGUUAAAGGAGAAUAUAUCAGUAUAACAAAGCACAAAAUUUAAACUAGAUUCAAGAAGAUCAAGAAAGAGAAAAGAAAAGAAAAAGCCUCCAGAUUUUAAAGAUACAAUGAAACUUAAAAAAAAAAAAAAAAAACCUCCAAAUUUUCCUUUCGAAAUGAGGUAAUAAGAGGAUUUUUUUUUUUUUCUUUUUUCUUUGCCUCUCUUUCAAAUUUGAUUAACUUCUAUGGAAAACGUAUUUUAACUAGUUAUGGAAAACGGAUUUUUUUUUUAAACUUUUAUAUAAGAUACAAGUAAUACUUUUAAAAAAUUGUGAUAUCUAAAAAAGUUUUUGAAAAAUUAUUUUUAAAGAAAUAAGGUAAAUCUAUACUUUUUGUAUAAGAUCUUCUACCUUUAUAUACAAAUUUCUGAUUUUUUUUUUUAAAGUGUAUCCAAAUGGACACUAAACUAUCUAGUUUUUAAUUGUUACAACUUUGAAUUGGAUUUUAUGGUAAACUAAUUUACAAGUUAAUGCAUGGAUUCAUCUUAGAUUCCAUCUAUAAAUUUUUUUAAUUAUCUAAUAUAAGACAUUAUAUUAAUGGGUUGAAUUAAUAAUGUAAUUAUAAUUUAUUUGGCAACUUUCUUCCUUCAAAUAUAUAAAAUGAAAAUAAAUUUUAAAAAAUAAAAAAGAAUGAAAAAAAUAAAAAAUAAAAAAAGCUUUUUUUUAUAGUUUUUCUAAGAUGAUUUUGUAGAGUACUGUUAGUUUAUAGUUUUAACUUUAUUUCAUUUUACUUUUAACUUUAUUUAUUGAGGUAUGUUCUUUUUUGAAACUCUUGUUUAGAUUUUAUAGAGAAUAUAAAUUUUAAGAAAAAAAAAGGAAAUUUAAAUAAAAUAAGAAUAAAGAAAGGCAAAAGGUGGAUGAAUUUUUUUAAGGCAAAAGUUUGAUAAUUUGGCACUAUCAUGUAAUGGGUGAAAUUUUUAAAUACUCAACAAAGGCUAGUGAAAUUUAAAUUAAAAGCUUGACAUGUACCUUUUCGACCAAAAUCUUUGGAGUUGGUGUAAAGUUUUGAGUAUGAGAGAGGUUAGUCUAGGGAAUAUUAUUGCACAUUUGUUCAAAUAAAACAUCAACAUUUUUUUUUGUUAAAUUCUAAAUGAACACCACUAUAAAUUAAUGCGAUUUUGUAUGCUCAAUUAAAUAAACUCAUUCUUAAGGCAUCACAUGAAGUGUUUAAGUCUAAUUAAUAUUAAUUAAAAAUGAUUAUAUUAAAAAAAAUCCAAAGUAAUUUAUUUUUAUCAUAAGUCAAGUAGGAUAGUUUUAUAAAUAAUUGGUUCUAGUUUCUAGUAUUAUUGUACACAAUCGCUAUGUUUGUUGCACCUCCAAAAAUCUACUACUUGUAAUUAAUUGUAUAUUAUUCUCCAUAUUCACAUCAGUUUAUGUAGUAUGAUUAAUUUAGCAACAAAAUAUAAGUUUACUUGAAAUCGCUUUAAAUUCCUAUGAUAUUAAAGUUUAAGAUUAAAACAAUUUAACAUUAGCCAAAAAGAUUAAGAUCUAUAAUGUAACAUAUAAAAUUUAGAAAAUUCAAGGAAGGGUAAACUCGCACCUGUUCUACCCAGAAGAGUGGCUCAAGUUCACAUUCAGAAUUUAUUUGUUGAAAGAGUAUCUCCACUUUAUCACAAUCGAGCACUUCCAAUUCUUUCAGAAGUGGCCAACUUGAACUAAACUUUCUAGAGCAAAAUCUUUUGAGUUGGUGUAAACCGGAGAGUGUGAGAGAGGUAAGGUUAGGGAAUAAAAGUAAAAGUGCUGCUUCAUCUUCAUUUUCAUUGUGAACAAUUGCCUCCACUCCACUAUAAAAUAUAUUUAGGUUCUCAAGUUGCACAAGAGCACUCGCCACAGAAACCGGAAAAAGGUUUAGCAAUUUGUUGCAUCCCCUUACUUGCAAUUUCCUUAAUUUGGAAAAUGAAUUUGCUGGAAGUUGGUCAGGCCACAAUGCUCUUAUAUUAUCUAGUCCGCAUACAGACACGGACUCCAAGCCUGGGAGUGCAACCUGUGCAAUUGAUGAUCCCUUUAGUUAAUAAUAUAUACAUAUACAUUCCUAAUAAUUAGACACAUGUAAAUAGAAAAUAAGAGGUUAAAGGAGAAUAUAUCAGUAUAACAAAGCACAAAAUUUAAACUAGAUUGAAGAAGAUCAAGAAAGAGAAAAGAAAAGAAAAAGCCUCCAGAUUUUGAAGAUACAAUGAAACUUAAAAAAAAAAAAAAAAAACCUCCAAAUUUUCCUUUUGAAAUGAGGUAAUAAGAGGAUUUUUCUUUGCCUCUCUUUCAAAUUUGAUUAACUUCUAUGGAAAACGUAUUUUAACUAGUUAUGGAAAACGGAUUUUUUUUUUUUAAACUUUUAUAUAAGAUACAAGUAAUACUUUAAAAAAAUUGUGAUAUCUAAAAAAUUUUUUGAAAAAUUAUUUUUAAAGAAAUAAGGUAAAUCUAUACUUUUUGUAUAAGAUGUUCUACCUUUAUAUACAAAUUUCUGAUUUUUUUUUUUUAAAGUGUAUCCAAAUGGACACUAAACUAUCUAGUUUUUAAUUGUUACAACUUUGAAUUGGAUUUUAUGGUAAACUAAUUUACAAGUUAAUGCAUGGAUUCAUCUUAGAUUCCAUCUAUAAAUUUUUUUAAUUAUCUAAUAUAAGACAUUAUAUUAAUGGGUUGAAUUAAUAAUGUAAUUAUAAUUUAUUUGGCAACUUUCUUCCUUCAAAUAUAUAAAAUGAAAAUAAAUUUUAAAAAAUAAAAAAAUGAAAAAAAUAAAAAAUAAAAAAAGAUUUUUUUUUAUAGGUUUUCUAAGAUGAUUUUGUUGAGUACUGUUAGUUUAUUGUUUUAACUUUAUUUCAUUUUACUUUUAACUUUAUUUAUUGAGGUAUGUUCUUUUUUGAAACUCUUGUUUAGAUUUUAUAGAGAAUAUAAAUUUUAAGAAAACAAAUGAAAUUUAAAUAAAAUAAGAAUAAAGAAAGGCAAAAGGUGGAUGAAUUUUUUUAAGGCAAAAGUUUGAUAAUUUGGCACUAUCAUGUAAUGGGUGAAAUUUUUAAAUACUCAACAAAGGCUAGUGAAAUUUAAAUUAAAAGCUUGACAUGUACCUUUUCGACCAAAAUCUUUGGAGUUGGUGUAAAGUUUUGAGUAUGAGAGAGGUUAGUCUAGGGAAUAUUAUUGCACAUUAGUUCAAAUAAAACAUCAACAUCUUUUUUUGUUAAAUUCUAAAUGAACACCACUAUAAAUUAAUGCGAUUUUGUAUGCUCAAUUAAAUAAACUCGUUCUUAAGGCAUCACAUGAAGUGUUUAAGUCUAAUUAAUAUUAAUUAAAAAUGAUUAUAUUAAAAAAAAUCCAAAGUAAUUUUUUUUUAUCAUAAGUCAAGUAGGAUAGUUUUAUAAAUAAUUGGUUCUAGUUUCUAGUAUUAUUGUACACAAUCCCUAUGUUUGUUGCACCUCCAAAAAAUCUACUACUUGUAAUUAAUUGUAUAUUAUUCUCCAUAUUCACAUCAGUUUAUGUAGUAUGAUUAAUUUAGUAACAAAAUAUAAAUUUACUUGAAAUCGCUUUAAAUUCCUAUGAUAUUAAAGUUUAAGAUUAAAACAAUGUAACAUUAGCCAAAAAGAUUAAGAUCUAUAAUGUAACAUAUAAAAUUUAGAAAAUUCAAGGAAGGGUAAACUCGCACCUGUUCUACCCAGAAGAGUGGCUCAAGUUCACAUUCAUAAUUUAUUUGUUGAAAGAGUAUCUCCACUUUAUCACAAUAGAGCACUUCCAAUUCUUUCAAAAGUGGCCAGCUUGAACUAAACCUUCUAGAGCAAAAUCUUUUGAGUUGGUGUAAACCGGCGAGUUCGAGAGAGGUAAGGUUAGGGAAUAAGAGUAAAGGUGCUGCUUCAUCUUCAUUUUCAUUGUGAACAACUGCCUCCACUCCACUCUGCAAUAGAUUUAGGUCCUCAAGUUGCACAGGAGCACUCGCCACAGAAACCGGAAAAAGGUUUAGCAAUUUUUUGCAUCCCUUUACUUGCAAUUUCCUUAAUUUGGAAAAUGAAUUUGCUAGAAGUUGGUCAGGCCACAAUGCUCUUAUAUUAUCUAUGAUAACCACAACAUUCAAACCACCGAGAUUUCCUUGGCUUCUCACUUAUCUUUUCCACCAGAUAAGUGUUUAUCCACUUUAAGAGAUAACUCUUGACUAUUUUUAAAUUUCUGUUAUUGUGUAUUUCAAAUCUCCUUCUGUAAUUGUAUAUAAAUGAGAAUAGCCACCCGGUUUUUGGCAUUGAAGCCAAUACCAUUUUACAGAUUUCUACAGAGUCUUACAUGGUAUCAGAGCAAUUGGCAUACGCCUAAUUUCAAUCGAUCCUUUCCUUCUCAACUAUGGCCUUCUCUUCUUCCGCUUCCUCCAAUGUUAUCUUUGCUCCUCCAAACAUUGGUCAUCUGGUGUCGAUCAAGCUGAGUGACACAAACUAUCUUAUAUGGUCAUCUCAGAUUGUGCCAGUACUGAAAAGUCAUGACUUGAUGGGCUUCAUGGAUGGUUCUGAGCCGUGUCCAUCAAAAUCUCUUGAUGGUUCUCUUAAUCCAGCAUAUAUUCUCUGGAAUAAGAAAGAUCAGUGUGUGUUAAGUUGGAUCAAUGCCACUUUGUCUGACAAGGUGCUAGCUUCUGUUUAUGGCAUCACAUCUGCUCGAGAGGUGUGGAGUUCUCUGGCAAACAAGUUUGCCUCUCAAUCCAGAACCCGUGUACACCACCUAAAGCGAAAGUUGCAGACUCUUCAUCAAGGGUCAAUGAAGUGCACUGAUUUUCUUGAAAAAGCGAAGUUGGUGUCUGAUGAAUUAGCUGCAGUUGGUAAGCCACUUGAGGAUGAUGACUUAAUGUCUUAUAUUGUGAGUGGACUCAACCCAUCCUUUAAUCCCUUUAUAACCUCUCUGUCCUUUGCCACUAGAGACAAAAAUGUUUCUUUUGAAGACUUUCAAGCCGAGCUCUUGUCAUAUGAACUGUUAUUGGAAAACUAGAAUAUUGCUAUACCACCUGAGACAAAUAAUUUUGCUUUCUUCACUCCCAAAUCUAACCAACAACAGUACAAUCGCAAACCCAAAAACCCAAGUAAACCAUAUUCACGUCCUUCAUUUUCACAAAAUCCUCGUCCUCGAUAUUCACCACAACCCUCUGGUUUACCUUCCUCACCUCAGCCAAAUCAGAAGCAGCACUCAUUUUCCACUCCUAAGUCACCUUGUCAAAUCUGUGGAAAGCUAAGUCAUAAGGCAUUAGAUUGCUUUCAUAGAAUGGAUUAUGCAUAUCAGGGUCGUCAUCCACCAACCCAGUUAGCUGCUAUGGUGGCACAUAGCAAUGCUGAGCAAGAGGAAGAGACAUGGUUUGCUGACAGUGGAGCUAAUCAGCACAUUACUGCCAAUCUGGAGCAUCUUACUCUGCAACAACCAUACACAGGACAAGAAAAUGUAGCUAUUGGUAAUGGCCAAGGUUUAAGUAUUGCACAUACUGGUACUACUAUUUUUCAUACUCCUGAAGCUAAAUUAAACCUCAAACGUGUCCUCCAUUGUCCUCAAGCUUCUGCCAAUUUGCUUUCCAUAAAUCAAUUCUGUCUUGAUAAUAAUUGCCUCUUUAUUCUAACUGGUACUCAUUAUUUUGUCAAGGACAUACAAACGGGGGCGACACUACUGGAAGGCAGGAGUGAAGGGGGUCUCUAUCCAAUCCAGUUGCGGUCAAUGUCUAUCAAUAAAUCACAUGCUUUGUCAGCCGUUGUAGGAAUUAAAGCAUCAGUUUCAGUUUGGCAUUCUAGAUUAGGACAUGCAUCUCUUCCCAUUGUGUCUCAGUUAUUAAAUAAACACUCCUUACCUGUUGAAGGAUCAGUGAAUAAAAUGCAUUUUUGUGAACCUUGCCAACUUGGCAAAGGUAAGCAACUUCCUUUCAAACCUUCUACUCGUGUUUCUUCCUUUCCUUUGCAAUUAAUUCAUACUGAUGUAUGGUCUUGUUCUACCAAAUCUCUCAGUGGAUGUAAGUAUUAUGUUAUAUUCAUUGAUGAUUUUUCACGAUUCUCAUGGCUUUAUCCUCUCCAAAAUAAAUCUGAUGUAUAUGCUUGCUUUGUUAAAUUCAAAACACUAGUUGAAAACCAAUUUUCUUGCAAAAUUAAGCAAUUACAAUCGGAUGGAGGUGGAGAAUACAUGUCCAACCAAUUUCAAUUGUUUCUUUCCUCUAAUGGAAUCCAACAUCGCCGCACUUGUCCUCAUACACCCCAACAAAAUGGGGUUGCUGAGCGUAAACACCGUCAUGUGGUGGAAAUGGGACUGUCUCUGUUAGCUCAGUCACUUUUGCCCACUAAAUUCUGGGUUGAUGCCUUUUUAACAUCCAUUUUUCUCAUCAAUAGACUACCAACAUCUACUCUUGAUAACCAAACACCAUAUCUUAAAUUAUUUGGCAAACAUCCUGAUUAUACCUCCUUGCGCACCUUUGGUUGUGCCUGUUUUCCAUUGUUACGGACCAUAUGCAACUCACAAAUUAAUGUUCAGAUCCAAACGUUGCAUAUUUCUAGGUUAUAGUUCCCAUCAAAAUGGAUAUAGAUGCUUGGAUCCUGUCACUCAAAAAGUUCUAAUCUCACGACAUGUUGUGUUUAAUGAGAAUACAUUUCCUGCUAAGGAUGGAUUGCAGUCUUCUGAACUUCUUCCAGUGGUCUCCUCUCAAGGUACGCCUUUACCUUCUCCUUCAUUUUCUUUAUCUACUUCUCAUUUACAGCAUUCCUCUCCAAUCAUUUCAGAUUCACCUGAUUCUCCUCUAGAAUCUUUACCUAUCCCCACUUCUCCUCAUAUCUCCACUCUACCUUCUCCCAUACCUAGUCCAGCUCCUACCCUUUCUAUACCUGAAUUUUCCUCUUCUUCCAAUCACUCUCAUCACCCCAUGACAACUCGCUCCCAAACAGGCAACCUCAAACCUCGCACAUUUUCAGAUUUUAAACUCUAUUCCACCCACUAUCCUCUCCAAGCAUUAUCCAGUACUGUGACUCCCCUUGCACCAACCUCCUACCGACAAGCUGCUUUAUUACCUGACUGGUGUGUUGCUAUGAGAGAGGAAUAUGAUGCUUUAUUGGCUAAUGAGACAUGGAAGCUAUGUCCUAGACCUGUUGAUCAUAAUGUGGUGGGAAAUAAGUGGGUGUAUAAAGUUAAACAAACAUCCACAGGUGAGGUUGACAGAUUCAAAGCAAGAUUAGUGGCUUUGGGAUUUGCUCAAGAAGAAGGUAUUGACUUUACUGAGACUUUUAGUCCAGUAAUUAAGCCUUCUACUGUACGGGUGCUUCUUACACUUUCUGUUCAAUUUGAUUGGGAAAUCAGACAGCUUGAUGUAUCUAACGCUUUUCUUCAUGGGAUCUUGCUAGAGGAUGUAUAUAUGGAGCAACCUAAGGGGUUUGUUAAUUCAGAUUUUCCAGAUUAUGUUUGCAAACUGAACAAGUCACUUUAUGGCCUCAAACAAGCACCUCGUGCUUGGUUUAUGCGUCUAUCUCAAACUCUACUUGAAUUCGGUUUCCUAUCCUCACCAGUGGAUGCCUCCUUAUUUGUCUAUCAUAAGGGCCAUAUUCAUCUAUUUAUCCUCAUCUAUGUAGAUGAUAUCCUUGUUACAGGUACAGAUCCUUCUCUCAUUCAGUCUCUAAUCCAAAAGCUACAAACCGAGUUCAAGAUGAAAGACCUUGGUCCUUUGGGCUAUUUUCUCGGCAUCCAAGCAAGUCGUGACUCUUCUGGCCUACAUCUUCGACAAUCCAAGUACAUUGGGGAUCUUCUUCAUCGUACCAAGAUGGCUGGGGCCAAACCUGCUUCCUCUCCUUGUACCACAGGUCUUAAAUUAUCCACUCAUGUUGGUGAGCCACUCACAGCUUCUCAAAUUACAGAAUAUCGACAAACUGUGGGAGCUCUUCAAUAUUGCACCUUGACUAGACCUGAUAUAGCAUUUUCUGUCAACCAACUAUGUCAACAUAUGCACUGUCCUAAUUCUGUUCAUUGGACAGCAGCAAAACGUGUCUUACGUUACUUAAAAGGCACCAUUGAUCUGGGAUUAUGGUACACUAAGGGCGAGCAAACUCUUCAAGCCUUUUGUGAUUCAGAUUGGGCUGGUAAUCCCGAUGAUCGAAGAUCAACUACUGGGUAUGGCGUUUUCUUUGGCUCUUGCUUAAUCUCAUGGACUGCCAAGAAACAAUCUGUGGUAGCUCGUUCUAGCACUGAAGCCGAAUAUAGGGCAUUAGCUAUUACUACUGCUGAGCUGUAUUGGAUUCGUAUGCUCCUCAAAGAACUUCAUAUUUCUUUGCCCACAGCUCCUACUAUUUGGUGUGAUAACAGUGGCGCUCUUGCUCUUGCUUCUAAUCCUGUGUUUCAUGCCCGCACCAAACAUAUUGAAGUUGAUUUUCACUUCAUCCGCGAGAAAGUUGCUAAUCGAGAUAUUUCCCUUCAGUUCAUCGGUUCUUAUGAUCAGCCUGCUGAUAUCUUUACAAAGGGACUAAGUUUAGCUCGGUUUUGUUUGCUUCGUGACAAGCUAAUGGUGGUUUCUCUCCCCAUUAGCUUGAGGGGGGAUGAUAACCACAACAUUCAAACCACCGAGAUUUCCUUGGCUUCUCACUUAUCUUAUCCACCAGAUAAGUGUUUAUCCACUUUAAGAGAUAACUCUUGACUAUUUUUAAAUUUCUGUUAUUGUGUAUUUCAAAUCUCCUUCUGUAAUUGUAUAUAAAUGAGAAUAGCCACCCGGUUUUUGGCAUUGAAGCCAAUACCAUUUUACAGAUUUCUACAGAGUCUUACAAUCUAGUCCGCCUACAGAAAAGGACUCCAAGCCUGGGAGUGCAACCUGUGCAAUUGAUGAUCCCUUUAGUUAAUAAUAUAUACAUAUACAUUCCUAAUAAUUAGACACAUGUAAAUAGAAAAUAAGAGGUUAAAGGAGAAUAUAUCAGUAUAACAAAGCACAAAAUUUAAACUAGAUUCAAGAAGAUCAAGAAAGAGAAAAUAAAAGAAAAAGCCUCCAGAUUUUGAAGAUACAAUGAAACUUAAAAAAAAAAAAAAAAAACCUCCAGAUUUUCCUUUCGAAAUGAGGUAAUAAGAGGAUUUUCUUUUUCUUUUUUCUUUGCCUCUUUUUCAAAUUUGAUUAACUUCUAUGGAAAACGUAUUUUAACUAGUUAUGGAAAACGGAUUUUUUUAAAAAAACUUUUAUAUAAGAUACAAGUAAUACUUUAAAAAAGUUGUGAUAUCUAAAAAAUUUUUGUAAAAAUUAUUUUUAAAGAAAUAAGGUAAAUCUAUACUUUUUGUAUAAGAUGUUCUACCUUUAUAUACAAAUUUUUGAUUUUUUUUUUUUAAGUGUAUCCAAAUGGACACUAAACUAUCUAGUUUUUAAUUGUUACAACUUUGAAUUGGAUUUUAUGGUAAACUAAUUUACAAGUUAAUGCAUGGAUUCAUCUUAGAUUCCAUCUAUAAAUUUUUUUAAUUAUCUAAUAUAAGACAUUAUAUUAAUGGGUUGAAUUAAUAAUGAAAUUAUAAUUUAUUUGGCAACUUUCUUCCUUCAAAUAUAUAAAAUGAAAAUAAAUUUUAAAAAAUAAAAAAAAUGAAAAAAAUAAAAAAUAAAAAAAGAUUUUUUUUAUAGUUUUUCUAAGAUGAUUUUGUAGAGUACUGUUAGUUUAUAGUUUUAACUUUAUUUCAUUUUACUUUUAACUUUAUUUAUUGAGGUAUGUUCUUUUUUGAAACUCUUGUUUAGAUUUUAUAGAGAAUAUAAAUUUUAAGAAAAAAAAUGAAAUUUAAAUAAAAUAAGAAUAAAGAAAGGCAAAAGGUGGAUGAAUUUUUUUAAGGCAAAAGUUUGAUAAUUUGGCACUAUCAUGUAAUGGGUGAAAUUUUUAAAUACUCAACAAAGGCUAGUGAAAUUUAAAUUAAAAGCUUGACAUGUACCUUUUCGACCAAAAUCUUUGGAGUUGGUGUAAAGUUUUGAGUAUGAGAGAGGUUAGUCUAGGGAAUAUUAUUGCACAUUAGUUCAAAUAAAACAUCAACAUCUUUUUUUGUUAAAUUCUAAAUGAACACCACUAUAAAUUAAUGCGAUUUUGUAUGCUCAAUUAAAUAAACUCGUUCUUAAGGCAUCACAUGAAGUGUUUAAGUCUAAUUAAUAUUAAUUAAAAAUGAUUAUAUUAAAAAAAAUCAAAAGUAAUUUUUUUUUAUCAUAAGUCAAGUAGGAUAGUUUUAUAAAUAAUUGGUUCUAGUUUCUAGUAUUAUUGUAGACAAUCGCUAUGUUUGUUGCACCUCCAAAAAAUCUACUACUUGUAAUUAAUUGUAUAUUAUUCUCCAUAUUCACAUCAGUUUAUGUAGUAUGAUUAAUUUAGCAACAAAAUAUAAGUUUACUUGAAAUCGCUUUAAAUUCCUAUGAUAUUAAAGUUUAAGAUUAAAACAAUGUAACAUUAGCCAAAAAGAUUAAGAUCUAUAAUGUAACAUAUAAAAUUUAGAAAAUUCAAGGAAGGGUAAACUCGCACCUGUUCUACCCAGAAGAGUGGCUCAAGUUCACAUUCAGAAUUUAUUUCUUGAAAGAGUAUCUCCACUUUAUCACAAUCGAGCACUUUCAAUUCUUUCAGAAGUGGCCAGCUUGAACUAAACCUUUUUGAGCAAAAUCUUUUGAGUUGGUGUAAACCGGAGAGUGUGAGAGAGGUAAGGUUAGGGAAUAAGAGUAAAGGUGCUGCUUCAUCUUCAUUUUCAUUGGCAACAAUUGCCUCCACUCCACUCUUCGAUAUAUAUAGGUCCUCAAGUUGCACAAGGGCACUCGCCACAGAAACCAGAAAAAGGUUUAGCAAUUUGUUGCAUCCCCUUACUUGCAAUUUCCUUAAUUUGGAAAAUGAAUUUGCUGGAAGUUGGUCAGACCACAAUGCUCUUAUAUUAUCU
rnacentral:lncRNA from 1 species